rnacentral:rRNA from 1 species
GAUGAACGCUGGCGGCGUGCUUAACACAUGCAAGUCGAGCGGGCAAUUUAUCUAGCACUGAUUACUUCAAAUGGCUAUCGCCAGUGUAAUCAUGAAUUUCUACCUUUUAAUAAAGAAAAAAGAAAUUCAUGUAUGCAAAUAGUGAUAACACAUGAAAGUGGAGUGAUGAGUGCUGGAUAAAUUGCUAGCGGCGGACGGGUGCGUAACACGUGGGUAACCUGCCCCUAUCACUGGGAUAACACACUGAAAAGUGUGCUAAUACCAGAUAACAUAAGCUUUUGGCAUCAUUAGCUUAUCAAAGAAUUUCGGAUAGGGAUGGGCCCGCGUCUGAUUAGCUUGUUGGUGAGGUAACGGCUCACCAAGGCAACGAUCAGUAGCCGACCUGAGAGGGUGAUCGGCCACACUGGAACUGAGACACGGUCCAGACUCCUACGGGAGGCAGCAGUGGGGAAU